rnacentral:rRNA from 1 species
CCUACGGGAGGCAGCAGUGGGGAAUAUUGCACAAUGGGGGAAACCCUGAUGCAGCGACGCCGCGUGAGUGAAGAAGUAAUUCGUUAUGUAAAGCUCUAUCAGCAGGGAAGAAAAUGACGGUACCUGAGUAAGAAGCCGCGGCUAACUACGUGCCAGCAGCCGCGGUAAUACGUAGGGGGCAAGCGUUAUCCGGAUUUACUGGGUGUAAAGGGAGCGUAGACGGUAGUGCAAGUCUGGAGGGAAAGGGGGGGGCUCAACCACCGAACUGCUUUGGAAACUGUACGGCUGGAGUGCAGGAGAGGUAAGUGGAAUUCCUAGUGUAGCGGUGAAAUGCGUAGAUAUUAGGAGGAACACCAGUGGCGAAGGCGGCUUACUGGACUGUAACUGACGUUGAGGCUCGAAAGCGUGGGGAGCAAACAGGAUUAGAUACCCGGGUAGUC